CUGAGACUGACAAACCAAACCUCAUUCAGGAAUGGGACAGUUUUAUUCUCUCUUCUGAACUGUCACCAGGUCUGAAUCCAGAUGUUGGGAUGUUGUAGAACAGGAGAUUGACAGCUGACGCACAUGCAGAAACGAUGUGCUGCAAUCAUCUCAACAUGGACCAGAACCUCAAAGGGAAGUUUCCAACAUGCUGUAGAAUCCGCACCACCGAGAACUGAGGCUGUUUUGAGAGCAAAUUUAUAUGUUUGUUCAUAAUGUGUCAUUAUGUGGUCAUGCUGCAUGAGAACUACUUUACCACUAAGAAAAUGAUGGAGGGGAGUCC